GAUGAACGCUGGCGGCGUGCCUAAUACAUGCAAGUCGAGCGAACAGACGAGGAGCUUGCUCCCCUGACGUUAGCGGCGGACGGGUGAGAAACACGUGGAUAACCUACCUAUAAGACUGGGAUAACUUCGGGAAACCGGAGCUAAUACCGGAUAAUAUAUUGAACCGCAUGGUUCAAUAGUGAAAGACGGUUUUGCUGUCACUUAUAGAUGGAUCCGCGCCGCAUUAGCUAGUUGGUAAGGUAACGGCUUACCAAGGCAACGAUGCGUAGCCGACCUGAGAGGGUAAUCGGCCACAGGGGAAGAAAGACACGGUUCAGACUGAGACGGGAGGCAGCAGUAGAGAGUCGGCCGCAAUGGGCGAAAGCCUAGCGGGGGAGCGAAGCGUGAGUGAUGAAGGUCUGCGGAUGGUAAAACUCUUUUAUUAGUGAAAAACAAUUGGCAAAGUAAGUACGCACGUUUGGAAGGCCCCUAAUCAAAACGUCGGCUAAAACCAUG
rnacentral:rRNA from 1 species